UUUCCGUUGGUGAACCAGCGGAAGGAUCAUUACAGAGAUCAUGCCCCUCGCGGGUAGACCUCCCACCCUGUGUUAUUACGAUUGUUGCUUUGGCAGGCCGCCUUCGGGCACUCGGCUCCGGCUGAGGUGCGCCUGCCAGAGGACCCCAACUCUUUUGUUUAUAUGUCGUCUGAGUACUAUAUAAUAAGUUAAAACUUUCAACAACGGAUCUCUUGGUUCUGGCAUCGAUGAAGAACGCAGC
rnacentral:misc_RNA from 1 species